rnacentral:rRNA from 1 species
AAUCAACGCUGGCGGCGUGCCUCAGACAUGCAAGUCGAACGCGAAAGGCUCCUUCGGGGGCCGAGUAGAGUGGCGCACGGGUGAGUAACACGUAGGUAAUCUACCUUUGGGUGGGGAAUAACAGCCGGAAACGGCUGCUAAUACCGCAUAAUGCAGCGGCUCGACAUCGAGACAGUUGUUAAAGCGGGGGAUUGGAGCAAUCCGACCUCGCGCCUGAAGAGGAGCCUGCGGCAGAUUAGCUAGUUGGUAAGGUAAUGGCUUACCAAGGCGACGAUCUGUAACCGGCCUGAGAGGGCGGUCGGUCACACUGACACUGACAUACGGGUCAGACUCCUACGGGAGGCAGCAGUCGGGAAUUUUGGGCAAUGGGCGAAAGCCUGACCCAGCAACGCCGCGUGAAGGAUGAAAUUUUCGGAAUGUAAACUUCGCAAGAACGGGAAGAAUAAGUAGAAGCGAAUA